CUCUUAAAACUCAAAACAUCCCACAGGCCUCUGCCUGGGGAACUCUGCGCCCACCGUGCCCAUGGACCCCUAGCCCUGGCAUUUUCUCCACAGCCCCCACUUGGAGCAAGGCCCAGGCAAAGUUCCUGCCAAGCACACCUUCACAAGUGCCCUCUCGUCGCUACAGCUCACUGCGCUUCCCAGACCUCGACCCCUGGCAUGGCCUGCCGCUUUCACCACAUCAGCUUUGCUCCUGACGGGCCGAACGUGGCUAACCAUGGCUAACCGAGUGACCUGAGACUUGCCUGACCUUUCUUGUCUCACUCAUCUCCAGAUGGGAAAACCAAGGCUCAGAGAGGGGCAGUGAUUUGCCCUGAGGCACAUAGCUGGCUCCAGAGGGGAGCACGUGAUCCAGGCCGCUGGGUCGGACAAGUGACCGCUCCAGGAUGGACCCAUGUCAGUCCGAUGGGUGUCAGCCCUGGGACUUUGACUAGAACUGUUAAGGAAGACUCCAGUGGGGCUGCUGAGUUGGCAGGAUGUGGGCCUGGAGCUGGCUGAGGGGCGUCUUUGCCGAUAAUGGGGGGAGUCAUCUGAGGAUAAAGCCAGCACUGAGGAAAGCAGAGUUGAGAGAGGGAGAGAGCGGGAGAGAGAGCACUCAGAGAGACUCCUGAUAACAUCCAUGGGUACCAGAUCCCACCAUGUCUGAAGCCAUUAACCUUCUCAGUUAAAUGAGACAAAUUAUCCCUAUUUCUGCUCAAACUAGUUUGAAUUGCAGCUGAAAGAGUCCUUCCUAAUCUGCCUAGUUCCUCCGUAGUGGUCAUUUUUGUCAGUGGGCAGGGACACGGAUGAAAGCUGAGUUGACCUGCUAGUGCCCCCAGGCCCUGAGUGGGAGGACUCCAUCUGGUCCUGGGGCCCUCCCUGGCCACCCUGUAGUGACCCCACUGCACAAUCUCCCAGGGCUGGCCCUGGCCUCCUGAGUUCUCCCCAGGCUCCCAGCAGGCUUCUUGUCCCAUCCUGGCCUCCGGAACCCUGGCUGCUGCUCCCGGUGUGCCCUGGGGCUGGGCCCUUUAGCCUACAGCCUCAGCUCCCUUCCUGUAGCAGCGCUGCUUGGAGGGGUCCACAGGAUUGUCUGCACCUUGUGCGUGUUCCAAGGCCACGUGGGGCCCAGCACUGAGGAAGCAGCAGCGGAAUCGUCAGUUCCUGCUUCUCUCUGUACUCCAGCCCAACAGUACCUCGCCCUCCACCGCCCUUCUCCCUGCUGACUUCAAAUGAGCUCCAGCCGCUCUGAGCUGGAAAAACCCCUCCCUUGCCUCCUGCCUCUCCACUUGCCCACUCGCCCCCCCGCCAUGGGCUCUGCCCCCUCGGUUGGGGAGAUUGCACUCUCCAAGGGCGCUAAUGGCCUCCCCUGCCUGGCACAAGGACGUUUCCCAGUCCCCACGGCCUCCACCCACACAGCCUAGCGCCCCAGCUUUGGAACACUGUGAUCCCUGCAGCUCUGUGGUGGGGGGCAGCUGGGGGGUGCAAUGGGGAGCACCUCAGCCUUUGAUUCUCAGAGCAGCAGACCUGGGCCAUUCUGGCUGGUUGGCUCUGGACAGGUCACUUUCCCUCUCUGAGCCUCAGUUCCCUCAUCUGAAGCGUGCCUUUAAUGACCUCUCUUAAGCGUGUUUGGAUGAUUAAAUCACAUAAAAGCGAUUGCUGUGUGGCUCCUGGCAGAGAGGGGCUGUUCAGAGCAGACACCCCGUGCUUGUUUUUACUUCCAUCUAGGCUAGCUCCUCUUUUCUGAGAUUCAGUCCCCAGCUCUCUGCUCUUAACCCUUAUAUCCCCCUACAACUUCUCGUUCUUCUUCCCUUGGCGCAUGCCUCCCCGCUUCCUCUCUCCAUCCAUCUUGGCUGCUCAGCUAACCUUGGCUGCUAGUUGUCAGUCUUCCUCUUGCCCACCAUAGCCAAGCCUCUUAAAGGAGCUGUCUACACUCUUAUCUACACUCUCUCAUUCCACAUCCUCACCACCCGCCCUCUUAUUCCUCUAACCCUGGCAGCCGCCACAGCUCCCUGCUAAACUGAUCUGGCAAAUGUCACCUUGUUGCGAAAUGCCAUGGGGACUCCUCAGCCUUAUCUGCCUGGUUGACACUGUUGGCAACUUCUGGAAACACUCCUGCCCCGGCCGGCCUCCCUGUCCCCGGAGCUCUCCUCUCCGAGCUCUCCCGAGGUCGUCCUCUGCCUCUCGGGGCUCCUCCCGCUUUCUCUGCCCAGGGCUGCUUCCCGGUUUCUCAUCUCUUCUCUAUGCUUGGGGCCCAGUUGUCCUCACACUGGAUUUGGCCCACGUUUAUUGUUUUUCUUAAUAGGAUUUAAAAAAAUCUAACUUAGUUGCCAACAUUC